CUGUCCUGGUUUUUCUGUGGUGGUUUUCUGUUUGUUUGGGAUGUUUUUUUAUUGAAUUGUCCAAAUUAGCCAACUCAACUUUGACUUCGGGUUGAUGUGAUGACACACAAGUUUACCUGCAUUUCCCGAUUUUUCACCUGCUGUUCAUCUGUCAUAUACUUUCUCUACCAGGGUUUAUAUGAAAAGACUCCUAGUUUCCCUUCCUUCACUUCUGGUCGGAAAUAAUCAUCUGGUUGGUCUUCACUCUCUCUGUUUCUCUCUGAUGGAAUGAGCUGCCAAACUCCAACUGAUUUGCUGCGGUCAUCACAUCUUUCAAGAACCAGCUAAAGACACGCCAUUUCUGCAAACACCUAAACUAAUUCACAAUCAUAAACAAAGGCACUUACUAUGACUCCUAUGUAUUUAAAAAAGCGUGUGUAAUAAUCCACCUUAAACCUGCCAUUAUGUACUAUGACUACUGUUGAAUUUUGACACAUUGCUUGUGAUGUUCCACAUUUGUGAGUCACUUUGGAUAAAAGCAUAUGCUCAAUGAAUAAAUGCUUUUAGUUCUUCUAAACUAAUCUUUUUACCCUUUUUAAGAUUUGCACUGGACACAAUUUAGUUUACAAUAAAUAAUCUAAACCUUGAUGACUUUCUUCAGUGCAACA